UAAGAUCACAUUAAAUAAAUAGGGAACAGACAUGAUACAAAAAAGACUGAACUUCAACAAUUAAGGCAGAAAGAAAUAUGACAUCACAGGCAAAUUUAGCAAAGAAGAUUUCAAAUGUACUCAGAUCAACAGUAAUUUAUACCCGUGGGGGAUGCAAACAUUCAUUAAAAAGAAUAUCACUUGAAAAAGAAUACAAGUAUACAACUAAAAAUUGAAAAUUAUUGAUUAG
rnacentral:misc_RNA from 1 species